UAAGGUGAAGUCGUAACAAGGUCUCCGUUGGUGAACCAGCGGAGGGAUCAUUA
rnacentral:rRNA from 1 species